AUGGCAGCACCAAACAACAACUCUAACCUUAAAGAACUUAUGGAAUUCAACAUAAAUUCUCACCUUCCAAUUAAGUUAAAUGGAACCAAUUACACUGCCUGGUACAAACAGUGCAGUGCACUCCUCAUUACUCGUGACCAUGAAGGUUUUGUUACAGACACAAAGAAGUGUCCUCCUACUACUAUUGUUACUGGUGAAACUACAUCACCAAAUCCUGAUCAUUCCUUAUGGAUCAGACAAGAUAAACUAAUUUAUCUUGCUCUUCGUGGCUCCUGUGAUUGUGAAGCAUGA
rnacentral:lncRNA from 1 species